UCGCAAUGUUGAAACUUUUAUGCUUUUCGUUGGACAUCCAAGAAGCGGUCACAGUUUGGUUGCUGCCAUUUUAGAUUCUCAUCCAGAAAUAGUUAUUUCGGAUGAGUUUAAUCUGCUUUAUAAGUUUGACAGUUUCUUUAUGGAUCCUAGCCAAACAAACGAUGAGCGCAAGCUGAGGAUAUUCUAUGACAUACAUACUCGUUCGCGCAGACAGGCCAUGUUUGGUAGUCGUUCGUCAAUUUGCAACAGCUCCGUAUCCUACUGCUACAACAUCAAAGGGGGCUGACAAGGUGAUUGCAAAAGUAAACUUAAGGUAAUUGGAGACAAAAAAGCAUCUGUAACUACUGCACGUUUGCAUCACGAAAAAGGGCUUCACGAUUUGCGAAAACUGGAGGAAGCGCUGGGGAAUUCCAAUCAAACUGAUUAACGUCAUCAGAAAUCCAUUUGAUAACAUUGCUACUAUAUGUAGAAGGAGACUAGGUGUGAAUCCUAGAAGUCAUCAAAUGGUACGCAACACAACAGCGUUGGACUUUUGCAUUGAUUUUUACUUCACUAAAGUGCGGACAGUUCAAUAUCUACGUGAUCUGAGGCACUACCAGAUCCUGAAUGUAUGCAGCCGAGAUUUGCUGACAAAUCCACGACGAACUUUACAAAAUGUUAUGUGACUUUGUUGGUGUUUCUUGUCACAGUGAAUUUGUCGAAUUAGCAACAAGAGAUCUCUAUUCCAAAUCAUCUCGGUCUAGGUAUUUGAUAGAAUGGAGUAACGAACAGAAAGAAAGUCAUGGAAGAAAUCCAGAAAUAUAGCUUUUUGAAAUCUUUAUUUUCGUUUGACAGUGAUUAGUGUCACCAUUAGACUUUGACGCUUAUUCAUCAACUUUAUCAUGUUAAUUUAAAACUUUCCUUGUAAUUGCAUACAUGUUUCUGUUACUGUUGUUUGUUUUGUCCAAUCAGCAUUUUGUUCUACAGUUUAAAUUCAACUUUGUACUUUGUAAAAUCA